rnacentral:lncRNA from 1 species
UUGUUUUUUGGACAGGUUCAGAUCUGGCAUUGGAAGCAGAUCAAAAAACGGAAGAGCAAAUGUGGGAGUGUGCUCUUGAGAGAAAACGGAAAGAAAAGCCGGCAGAGGAAAUUCUACUAGAGGAAGGACGGAUCCAUCUGGAGUGUGACAAAAGGAUGUUGUUGAAAGAGGAGAGAGAAUGUAUGUUGGAGAAAUGGCAGCAGGAACUUGAGUGUCGAGAAAGAGAGAUGGAAAGUUGGGUAAAACAAGAGCUGAAGCGAGAGCAGACUCAAAGGGAGUUGGAAAGCAAGAUUGCGGAGAUGAUGGAGGAAGAAUGGAAGAAAUUAAAAUGCCAAAAAGAGAUGAUAGAAAGGAAGGAACAGCAAAUGCGGGAAGACAUGAAAUGUGUUAAACAAAAGUUGGUAAAGAUAAAUGGAAGGCAGGAGGCACGAGAACAAAAGCAAGAAAAUUGGGCACAGGAGGUGAUAAAGGAUUUGGAAAUGGUGGAAGAAAAAAUGAGGAAAGAAGCUGCAAGGCAACAGGAUCUGUGGACUGAGCUGCAAAAGCAGCAGAAUUCAUUGCAGUUUCAAGAAAUGUUAUUGGAGGAACAGCGGAUGGAAAUGGAUGAGCAAAAGCGCAAUGAAAGAAUAAGGCUUCAGAACGAGCAGGCCGCCAUGGAAAAGUCACCCACGAAGAAGAAGAAGAAGGUGUCAUGUUUGAGAAAGUUUUUCACUUUGCUCUUUGGAAGACAUCGUUCUCCUUGUUCUUCUCAAGAAAACGAAUGCACAGGGGAAGAUCAACUAAGGAAUUGCGAAGAGACAGAGAGCGUGGCACAUGUGGAGCCACAGAAAAAGGCAAAGAAGUCUAAAGGCAACAGUUUCUUCAACAUAUUUAGAAGAAAUAGAAACAAGCAGUGAUUCAGGUACGGUUCAUAUGGACAUUCAUUUACAGCUGAGGUUGUUGUUCAGAAUUGGUUUGAAAGAUAAGAACAUAAGUGGAUAUUUAUUUGUGGCAAAUUCCAGAGCAC